rnacentral:rRNA from 1 species
UACGUAGGGGGCAAGCGUUGUCCGGAUUUAUUGGGCGUAAAGAGCGUGUAGGCGGCUUGGUAGGUCCGCUGUGAAAACUCGAGGCUCAACCUCGAGAUGUCGGCGGAAACCACUUGGCUAGAGUCCGGAGGAGGAGAGUGGAAUUCCCGGUGUAGCGGUGAAAUGCGCAGAUAUCGGGAAGAACACCUAUGGCGAAGGCAGCUCUCUGGGACGGUACUGACGCUGAGACGCGAAAGCGUGGGGAGCGAACAGG